GCAGUAUUCUGACUGUGCUAAGGUAGCAUAAUCAUUUGUUAUUUAAUUGAUAACUAGUAUGAAUGGCGUGACGAAAAACUAACUUUUAUUUUCUUUACUAUGAAAAUAAUAUCAGAGUAAAAAAGCUCUGUUUCUUCAGAAAGACGAUAAGACCCUAGAACCUUACAAUUUGUUCUAUUGGGGAGGUAGAAGUCUAAACAAUUUUUCAUUUACCCUGUUGAAGGAGAUGAAAUAACUUUAUUAAAAGCAAAAAGGUACUCUAGGGAUAACAGCAUAAUCUUUCUAGAGAGACCAAAUCGACAGAAAGGAUUUUGACCUCGAUGUUGAAUUGAUCAUUCUUAUAA
rnacentral:rRNA from 1 species